rnacentral:rRNA from 1 species
UACGUAGGGGUCUAGCGUUGUCCGGAAUCAUUGGGCGUAAAGAGCUCGUAGGCGGUUCGGCAAGUCGGAUGUGAAAUCUCCACGCUCAACGUGGAGGGGCCAUUCGAAACUGCCGUGACUCGAGUCCGGUAGGGGAGUGCGGAAUUCCCGGUGUAGCGGUGAAAUGCGCAGAUAUCGGGAGGAACACCAGUGGCGAAGGCGGCACUCUGGGCCGGAACCGACGCUGAGGAGCGAAAGCGUGGGGAGCGAACAGG